GGGAAUAUUGGACAAUGGGCGAAAGCCUGAUCCAGCCAUGCCGCGUGUGUGAAGAAGGCCUUCGGGUUGUAAAGCACUUUAAGCGAGGAGGAAUGGCUCUAGGUUAAUACCCUUGAGCAGUGACGUUACUCGCAGAAUAAGCACCGGCUAACUCUGUGCCAGCAGCCGCGGUAAUACAGAGGGUGCAAGCGUUAAUCGGAAUUACUGGGCGUAAAGCGCGCGUAGGCGGUUACGUAAGUUGGAGGUGAAAUCCCCGAGCUCAACUUGGGAAUUGCCUUCAAAACUGCGUGGCUAGAGUGUGGGAGAGGAAGGUAGAAUUCCAGGUGUAGCGGUGAAAUGCGUAGAUAUCUGGAGGAAUACCGAUGGCGAAGGCAGCCUUCUGGCCUAACACUGACGCUGAGGUGCGAAAGCAUGGGGAGC
rnacentral:rRNA from 1 species